UCUGACUGUAGAGAGUGCAGCCUCGCGCUUCCUGUGCAGGGCCAACCAGGCCACGCUCGCUCGGGUUGGCUGUAAGCAGACCCGGGCACGUGUAAGGCCAUUUAAUCGGCUUCCCACUGUUGUGUGAUUCCUUUUUGCAGAGGAGCUAAUUCCUUGGGACUCAGCUGAGGCCAAGAGAACAGUGAGGGAGAAGGCAGGUGGCACCAAAUGAAGAAAAAAGCAAGCUCCCUGGAGCAGACGACCCUCUCUGGCCUCCAGAGAUGCUGAGGGAGGCUGCUUUCAGGCGGUACCUUUUCUUUAUUGUUUCUCCAUCUUUCACCUGGUUCUGGCAGGACACAGAUUGGAGUUGGUACAGGCUGUCACAGCCUCACUCUUUGCUUAAGAGUCAGGGUAAUCGUGACAUGUCAAGUUUAUCUGGAUAAGAUUUUAGAAGAUUCACUUCUAACCUGAAAGCUCAGAGGAAUCGCGGCUUUACCUCCAGGGAUGAGCAGGUCUUAUUGGCCCAUUUUAGAGCCGAGGAAGCUGAAGCUCUGAGGAGUGAAGGGAACAGCCCAAAGGAACAAAAUUGUGAGUUGCAGAGUGGAGAUUCCAACACGUUUGUUUCGUUCUAUCUUCCACCCCCUGUCAUUCCCUGCUUCCUUAGCUGGAACUCUCCAUCAGCCAGGGCUGCCUGCUCCUGAUUUGAUGAAACUUGCUGACAAUGAAAACCACAAGGGCUUCAUGAUAAGAGAGGAGCCAACGGGGCUGAGCCUUGUUGGAGUAUCACGUGGAUGUGGCCGCAGCUUCAUUCUCAGAAGACGGGCAACCCAGGCACACUAGAUGAAGUUGAAUGAUGAAAUUAUGUGACGGAUUCUUUGUGCAACAUGCCAAAUACUAUGGAGCAAUACCAUUGCUGGUUACUGAUAUUUAUCUGAGGAGAGAAACACCACGUGAAGACAGAGGCACGCAGGAGAGAAUGCCAUGUGGUAUAGCUGCAAGCCAAGGAAUGCCUGGGGCUGCUGAAGAGUGGGAAGGCGGUUUUCUAUCAUUCUCCUGCCCUGAAGUGAAUGAGAGCAGAAUGGGAAAUAUGGAAAAGGAACAGCUAGGACAGGGGCAGGAACCCAUACGUACUGAACACCUAUGUCUGCAUCCUCCCACUGGGGAGCUUGCAAAUGUCUCAUUUGCCCCGCACGCGCUGCAAGGACAAUGAUGAGCAGCUCUUACUGGACCAGCCAACUGUAUUGCCUUUCUCUCCUGGGACGUGCUUACCAGGAAGAUGGACAAGACCCAAUAGACAGAACCGGUCCAACUUGGGGAAUCUGCUCAUGCAGCAUUAUGCGUGGGGGUGGUGUGGUAAUGAGGGCCUAAGGAUUAGAGUUCUCUUCCUGAAAAGAAGCAGCUGGCCUUGGGGAAAGACCACACACACCUUUAUGCUUCCCUGUGUCAGAACUGACAACUCUGGGAGUUAAUAAUGCCAAACGGAAAUGUCUCUAUUUAAAUGGUUGAAUGUUGUGUUACGCGGAAGUAGGAAGGCUGGAACUCACCUCCCUGAACUCCAAUCCUGGCUUCACCAAUCCAGCUUUGUGUCUUUAGGCAGGUUGUGACCCUCCUGUUUGCCUCAGUUUCCUCAUCUGUAAAAUGGGAAUAAUAACAUCCCUCCUCUGCCCAAGGGGAUGGUAUAAGUAAUAAAUGCAUUCAUAUUUGAAAAAUGCUUAAGACGAUGCCUUUCAAAAUGUAAACAUUCAAUAACUAUUAGCUCUUUAAAUAAUUAUUUUCCACAGUUCUUAGAAAAUGGCGGGUAUCUUACUCUCGCAAGCGAGGCUGGGGUUGUCCUUGUGCAUGUGUGUCAUGGGGGGCCUUGCCCUCCUUUGAUUCAUUCUCCAGUUU